rnacentral:lncRNA from 1 species
UCUUGAUAAAGAAAUUCUCCAGGCUUUGCAAAAAUAUUUAAUACAGAUUGGCAGGUGGUUUGAGGUUCCAUACCUUCAACCUUUCUUUUUCCUUCACUCAAUUACCAAAUAUACCACCCUAGACUUUCAUACUGCUGCUGAUACUCUCUUUCUCCCUAUGCAAUUUAUCAGCGGGUCUGCAUCUGAUACCCAUAAAAAAACAGAGAAGGGCGCCAAGGCUUCCCAGAAUCAAUUUCUAGAUCCUGCUUUUAAGACCUUUAACAAUAGGGAAGAUGAGGCCAAACAGGAGAAAGAAAAACAUCUUAAAACUAAAUAUCAGCUCCUAGCCUCAGCCAUCCAUCGCCCUAAAAAAAGCCAUUGCUACUCACGGCCCCUCCAGACCCUCUAAUAUACCUUUGGGCCCCAUUUCUGAUGUGGAUGGACUGGACCUUGGACAAAAACCCAAGGCUGCUCACCAAGCCAUGUCCCAAAUGUGGGGCAAUGGGGACACUGGAAGGUGGACUGUCCCCAGGAAAAAACACCUCUCCCCUCAGUGCAGCCAGCUUCCCAAGUCCCCUAAUAAUACAUCUGGGGAGCCCUAGGUUACAGGGAUUGGUGAAUGGCCAAGCAGCAGGCAAAUAUUCCCCUUCUGAAGAGAUUUUAAGGGCUCAACUAGCUGGUAAAUUUCCUCCUUAAAUUAAAAUAAUUAUCAAAAGGUUAAUUAGUAUUCUCCAUUCUGAGUGAGGUCCUAACCUGACAAUAUGUAAAAAGGAGGCUUAUUUCAAGCCCCUACCCUCAGCUUACCUAUGGAGCAAAAAUUUAACCUGUUUGUCACUGAGAGAGAAAAAUAACCUAACCAGCCCAACAGUGAAUGGCGUGUCUCAGUGGUGUGACCUAGCAGCCUCAUCCUCAAAGGUAUGGGAGAUAGUGUUUCAUAGUUUUCUGCAUCCAAGCUGGCCUGAUUACCAACCAGGGAAAAAAGGGUUAAAGAGCCCUGGUGCUUGCACUGGAAUGUAAAAGGCAGGCUUCUUAGGAGGUAGGAGGCCAAUCGAGAUUGAAGGGAAAAAAUGUCAUUUUAACUUCUCCCUGGCUGCGGCAUAUGGAGAAAAAUGAUUUCAGGGCUCUCUCUCUCUCUCUCUCUCUCUUUCUCACUCUCUUUCUAUCCCUCCCUCUCUCUCUCUUCUCGCUCUUUCAUGCUGCUUCUGAAAUAAUUAACGGCCUUGUCAUUUUUCCCCCUAGGAUUCUUGUUUUUUUUAUAUUCUCUAUUUUUUUUUAGCCCAUGAUUUUGAUCCAGCGCACUUAGGUUUAUGUGUUUUUCUGACCAGACCUAUUUUAUCCAACUAUGAAGGUUUUAUACACUCUGCUCUGUUCAGAGUUCAAUUUGCAAAGGUUAGCUCUUGACCUAAUAGGUUUUAAAAAGCUAUAAGGCCUUUGUUUCUUUGUUCUGUUUCUACAUGCACCUGUGUAUUGGCCUGUCUACAUGUGUUUGUGUAUCAAAAUUGUCAUAUCGAUGAAUGAGCUC